GAUGAACGCUGGCGGCGUGCCUAAUACAUGCCAGUCGAGCGAACGGACGAGAAGCUUGCUCCUCUGAUGUUAGCGGCGGACGGGUGAGUAACACGUGGAUAACCUACCUAUAAGACUGGGAUAACUUCGGGAAACCGGAGCUAAUACCGGAUAAUAUUUUGAACAGCAUGGUUCAAAAGUGAAAGACGGUCUUGCUGUCACUUAUAGAUGGAUCCGCGCUGCAUUAGCUAGUUGGUAAGGUAACGGCUUACCAAGGCAACGAUGCAUAGCCGACCUGAGAGGGUGAUCGGCCACACUGGAACUGAGACACGGUCCAGACUCCUACGGGAGGCAGCAGUAGGGAAUCUUCCGCAAUGGGCGAAAGCCUGACGGAGCAACGCCGCGUGAGUGAUGAAGGUCUUCGGCUCGUAAAACUCUGUUAUUAGGGAAGAACAUAUGUGUAAGUAACUGUGCACAUCUUGACGUUACCUAAUCAGAAAGCCACGGCUAACUACGUG
rnacentral:rRNA from 1 species